CAUGCAAGUCGAGGGGAAACGACAUCGAAAGCUUGCUUUUGAUGGGCGUCGACCGGCGCACGGGUGAGUAACGCGUAUCCAACCUGCCCACCACUUGGGGAUAACCUUGCGAAAGUAAGACUAAUACCCAAUGAUAUCUCUAGAAGACAUCUGAAAGAGAUUAAAGAUUUAUCGGUGAUGGAUGGGGAUGCGUCUGAUUAGCUUGUUGGCGGGGUAACGGCCCACCAAGGCGACGAUCAGUAGGGGUUCUGAGAGGAAGGUCCCCCACAUUGGAACUGAGACACGGUCCAAACUCCUACGGGAGGCAGCAGUGAGGAAUAUUGGUCAAUGGACGAGAGUCUGAACCAGCCAAGUAGCGUGCAGGAUGACGGCCCUAUGGGUUGUAAACUGCUUUUAUAAGGGAAUAAAGUGAGUCUCGUGAGACUUUUUGCAUGUACCUUAUGGAUAAGGACCGGCUAAUUCCGUGCCAGCAGCCGCGGUAAUACGGAAGGUCCGGGCGUUAUCCGGAUUUAUUGGGUUUAAAGGGAGCGUAGGCCGGAGAUUAAGCGUGUUGUGAAAUGUAGAUGCUCAACAUCUGCACUGCAGCGCGAACUGGUUUCCUUGAGUACGCACAAAGUGGGCGGAAUUCGUGGUGUAGCGGUGAAAUGCUUAGAUAUCACGAAGAACUCCGAUUGCGAAGGCAGCUCACUGGAGCGCAACUGACGCUGAAGCUCGAAAGUGCGGGUAUCGAACAGGAUUAGAUACCCUGGUAGUCCGCACGGUAAACGAUGGAUGCCCGCUGUUGGUCUGAAUAGGUCAGCGGCCAAGCGAAAGCAUUAAGCAUCCCACCUGGGGAGUACGCCGGCAACGGUGAAACUCAAAGGAAUUGACGGGGGCCCGCACAAGCGGAGGAACAUGUGGUUUAAUUCGAUGAUACGCGAGGAACCUUACCCGG
rnacentral:rRNA from 1 species